GAAAAAUGUUCGGACCUCGGUGAUGCAGAGAAGGGAACUGAGUCAAGGAGCUUGGGUCUUGCAAGGCAGCAAGCCUGCUGGUGUGACUCUUGCAUAGCUGAUGCUCUUUUAAUCACUUACAGUGCUGCUAACUCAGUACAGACCUUCAGACCCAGACACUACUGUUUUGUUCCAAAUAAAGGUCUAACUACUGAUGAUUACAGCUCACACCAGGAAACCUUUCAUAAGAGGAUUAGAGGUCUAAACGACAUUGAGAUGUGACAUAACUCAACAUGUUAUCCCACUAAUGUGGUCCAGCUCAAACUGCUCAGCCAAUCUCAACCUGUUUCUGUAUCUAUCACGGCCAAGAAAAGAUGCACAACAUUCUACAGGAUUGAUUUUACAUUUACUUCAAUCCAGAUACACUAUGUAUAGAGGGAAAGCCCAUCCAGAAGGAUUAUUAAUCACAAGACAGAUGAUCACACCCCUCUCCUGAAAUGUAGGACACUGAUGAAACAGCUAAUCUCCAAGAAGCUUUCUCCUCAUUUGCCCUCAGCUGGAUAAUCAGCUUUUCGUGUCAAUACCAGAUAAAUUCAACUCACCGCUGUGGGUGCACCAUAGUACGGACGCUGUUCUAUGGCACGGUAGUUCUCAUCAUCUCUGCAGUCUUCGACGAGCAUCAAAAUGACAACCUUGCUAAUGUGUCUAAGGAUUCCAGACACAGGAAAACAAGGCAUCGUGCUUCACCACGUCACUUCCUGCAGGCUUGCAGCUGGGGAAAAGAUUGACUGGGUUGUGGAAGGUCAGAAUCCAAAGAGCAAGCAUCCAUACUUGGACCAUGGAUGGCUCACUGCCUUGGAAGGGCUUCUCUUUUGUCAUAUCAUUAAGGUUUAUUUAUUCCCCACGCAUUCUGAAGAGGAUUUAAAUGACAAAUUACCCUUGUAACAUUGCGAUGUGUAGUUGAAUAUUGUGGAGGCUGGUAAAAUAUUUGCAGACUGACAAGAUCCUUUUUUUCUUUUUUUAUAAACUAGCCCACAGAAAUCUUAAAAAAUAUAUAUAUCUCCAGUGCUACCAGAGGUACCAUAUGGAGAAAUUACCCUCACAGAGCUCCAGAGUUAGUACAUUUAUGCUGUCAUUUUGUCCAAAGGAACAAAAACCCACGUCUCAAACUGAAAACAUGAAGUCACCCAGUAAUUCCCUGAAAGCGCUGAGCUUCAACUCCACAGGACACAUCACAGCGAUUAUUCUUCCCUUGAAUAUAGGUGAGCAGAAUGGAUUGUGAAGGAGUCGUGCCAAGAGACAAAUUCUAAGCCAUGACGGCAGGAUUUCUGUGCAGUAAGAUCCCAGUGACUUGUCAUUAGCUGGCAAGAGAGAGGCCUGUCGGGGAUUGCCUUGUCAAAGAGUCAUUUAUUAGUCACAAACCCCACAGGGCUGCACCCCUGAGGGCAGAAGAGAGAGAAGGCAGGCCCCCAAACCACCUGCUUUGGGGUGAGCAACUCAGAGAGGAUGGGAAGGGAAAGGAUCUCCCACUGAGACAGGGCUGUGGACAAUGCAGCCUAAUCACGUUCUGUGGUAAAUGAACCUAGAACUGUCACAGUCAAUGGAGUCAGAAAGGAAGCAGCAGGCGCUGCAGAGGACAGCUGCAGCCUCCAACAGAAGUGAAGCAGACUUUAAACACCCUUUUCAUUGUGAUAGUAUCAGACAAACACUGUGAUUUGAAACAUACGAGAACCAAAUAAAAAUUUAUGAUAAUCCCAGGGUUCUCCUGUUUAAAAGUCUUCCCGGAGGCACUUUUAAACAGGAGAGUUCUCUCUAGAUCACGGUAAUGGAAAGGUCACUAACAGGCUUUCUUCCACUUCAGAGGAAACUGAUGUGAACAAUGCAAUCACACACAGGAAUGAGGAGGCCCUCCUCGAGGAUACUGAGACACGUACAGAGAAAUAAAAUCAUUUCCUAAACUGAGUACCUGAGAGGAAAAAAAAAUGUGCUCCCUGGAAGCAGAAUAGAAGGGAACCUGGGCACACCCAGCAGAUGGGGCUGGGAGGUGCAGGGGUCUGAGAAAGGCUUCUGGAGGGGCUGACCCUGAAACGGAAAUCUAAGGAACUGAUCCGUCAGAAGAAUGAUGGAGAAGCAGCCAGGCAGAAAAGACUCAAGAACAUCGGCAGUGAUGGUCAGAAGGGACCCAGUCCAGAAUCUGCUGCGCCAAUGCUGGAGUGACAGUUGACUGGAGACCUUUCUGAUCAAGCAAGUUCAGGAAGAUUGAAUGCCCAGCGACCAGAAUAUAAACUCUGACAAUAUUGAGCCUGCAUGCUAAAGAGUGGACAGAGGUGGCAUAAGCUGAUUUUGCAAAGAAAAUCAUCUCACAAGGAGGCUGUUUAACAGCAUUCCGGACCUCGACAUACCACGUGGCAGGACCACCACCCACUAACCAGUUCUGAAAACCAGAAGUAUCUCCAGGCAUUGUCAAGUGUGCACGGGGUCAAAUUCUUUAGUGCCUUAACAUGAGCAGACUCAUUUAACCCUGUACACCCCUUUCUGCCCCCUUCCUUUUCUCUUCCUCUCUCUUCUCCCGCUCUUGCCCCUCCCCUCUUGUCUCUGUCACCCUAAUAAACCUCCUUCAUGUGGGACUGUGUUGACCUGGUAUGGUUUGUCCAGACUUGAGCCACGAUUUCUAUCCCGAUUUCUAUCCCAACAGUCACCAAGACAUGAGGACCAUUAAGGGGUUACAGCAUUA